rnacentral:tRNA from 1 species
GCCGGUUUGGUUCAGUGGAUAGAACGUCAGCCUGCUGACUGAAGGGUCGGUUCAAUUCCGGUCAAGGGCA